AACGAACGCUGGCGGCAUGCCUAACACAUGCAAGUCGAACGAGACCUUCGGGUCUAGUGGCGCACGGGUGCGUAACGCGUGGGAACCUGCCUUUAGGUUCGGAAUAACUCAGAGAAAUUUGAGCUAAUACCGGAUGAUGUCUUCGGACCAAAGAUUUAUCGCCUUUAGAUGGGCCCGCGUUGGAUUAGCUAGUUGGUGGGGUAAAGGCCUACCAAGGCGACGAUCCAUAGCUGGUCUGAGAGGAUGAUCAGCCACACUGGGACUGAGACACGGCCCAGACUCCUACGGGAAGCAGCAGUGGGGAAUAUUAGACAAUGGGCGAAAGCCUGAUCCAGCAAUGCCGCGUGAGUGAUGAAGGCCUUAGGGUUGUAAAGCUCUUUUACCCGAGAUGAUAAUGACAGUAUCGGGAGAAUAAGCUCCGGCUAACUCCGUG
rnacentral:rRNA from 1 species